AUGUAUUUCUAUGUGUAUCCAGAGUUUGACUAUUUUGUUGAUGUGAUGUAAUGGAAUCACAAUAGCCCCAGACUUUGCCAGGUUGUGACAGUUGAAACUAGCCAGCCCAUGAUUGUUGAGCACCUUGUGAGCUUAUAUUUUGUAGACUGUAGUUCAUAGUCAUUUUGUGCUGAACAGUGUAUCUGGAGUUAGUCCCCUCUUUGUGUAACCCUUAGCCUUGGGAUUCAGUCUAUCACCUUCCUCCUUCUCUCCAGGACUUUUUGAACUCCCGUCAUGCUUUAUAAAAAGCAUCCAAAGCUCUUUCCAGAGGUCUUUCCAAGCUUCAGCUCGUCCAUCACUGGGAGUGAGCUCAAUUAUGGCGCUCGCUCCCCACUGUGGUCAAUAACCUUGAUAACAAGACAGCGCAGAACCAGAUGUGCAUGAAGGUGAGUGCGUGUGUGCCGAGGAUCUGGAAAAUGUAAGUAGAGUUCUGUGUGUGUGUGUGUGUGUGUGUGUGUGUGUGUGUGUGUGUGUGUGUGUGUGUGUGUGUGUGUGUGUGUGUGUGUGUGUGUGUGUGUGUGUGUGUGUGUGUGUGUGUGUGUGUGUGUGUGUGUGUGUGUGUGUGUGCGCACGUGCGUUCUGGCUCAUACCUGAAGCACAUAUUUAAUCACAAACUAAUGGCCCCUCAGGUUCUCCUCUCUCUCCGUGGCUUUGGCAUCACACAGACAUGCUGCUCCUCAGAGGAUCAAGUCAGUCCUCUCUCUGCUGGAAGUGCCUGGCUCUCUGCCUCGUCUUCAGCCUCCAUUCAUUUAACUUAUUUCCGUUUCAGAUAUCAGGGCACCUUCAUCCUUCAAGAAAAGAGAGCAAUAAGGAUUGUGAGAAAAAAAAAGGGUCCUCAGAGAGAAGCGGGAAUAUCAGCAGGAACCCAAAACAGGAGGAUCACUAACAUAUGAGAGAGUUAGAGAGGGAGAGAGAGAGAGAGAGCCUGUAAGAUGUGCGUGACUUGCUGCAGAGAAGUCAGGCGCAGGAGAGCAGAACUGGGUAAUAACCGGAGCAGUUUAAUAGGCAAACACUAUACAAACACUAUACAACAAAACAUUUCACACACAGACAAAGGGGGAACAGAGGGUUAUAUACACGACAAGUAGUGAGGGAAUGUAAACCAGGUGUGUGGGAAAACAAGACAGAACAAAUGGAAAAUGAAAGGUGGAUCGGCGAUGGCGGGAAGACCGGUGACAUCGACCGGCGAACGCCACCCGAACAAGGAGAAGAACCGACUUCGGCGGAAGUCGUGACAGAGCCAGUAUGCCCCACUACCAGUCUGUAGUCAUGUAGUUUAUACACAUAUUGAGUGUGAGGUAGGCCGUCACGUGGAUAUAGCAGUGAGGAAGCUAUGUUUUUCUGUCUAGGGUGAGGGCUUUUAUUUGCAAAGUGGAUAUAAAUAGGUUCCAAAAGUGCUUACAGUAUGUACAAAAUAAUAAACAGGAUGAAGAGCAACAUACUGUAAGUCAGAACACAGAUGACCUACCCAAAAAGACUCAAUAAUGCCUGAUAGAAUUUAGCAUGCGCAGCAGCAGAGCCCAAUGUUAUAGUCAUUAUAUAGCCUACCUUGUGAGCUUGUGUGUUCCUUUGACUCACCAUAUUGUUAUCCUGACGGGCCACCGUACUUUGGAUAAACAGUGUUGUUAUGCUAGCUCACGUACCUGAGGAUGUUAGAGUUGUAGUAAUAAACCAGAGCCGUUUAUAAAGAACAAAC
rnacentral:lncRNA from 8 species